rnacentral:rRNA from 1 species
UACGUAGGGAGCAAGCGUUGUUCGGAUUUACUGGGCGUAAAGGGCGCGUAGGCGGCAGAUCAAGUCAGCUGUGAAAUCUCCGAGCUUAACUCGGAACUGUCAGCUGAUACUGUUUUGCUAGAGUGCGGAAGGGGCAAUCGGAAUUCUUGGUGUAGCGGUGAAAUGCGUAGAUAUCAAGAGGAACACCUGAGGUGAAGGCGGGUCUCUGGGCAACAACUGACGCUGAGGAGCGAAAGCGUGGGGAGCGAACAGG